rnacentral:rRNA from 1 species
UUGGUAAUCGUAAGAGUGAUCCUAUGCUGCCUAGAAAAGCUUCGUGAGCGAGAUAUUAGCCGCCCGUACCCCAAACCGACACAGGUGGAUAGGUAGAGAAUACUAAGGCGAUCGAGAUAACCAUGGUGAAGGAACUCGGCAAAAUACCCCCGUAACUUCGGAAUAAGGGGGACCUGAGACGUAUUAGAAUUUACUUCGAAAGCGUCGAGGGUCGCAGAGACCAGGCCCAAGCGACUGUUUACUAAAAACACAGGUCCGUGCUAAGUCGUAAGACGAUGUAUACGGACUGACUCCUGCCCGGUGCUGGAAGGUUAAGGGGAAGGGUUAGCUUCGGCGAAGCCUUGAACUUAAGCCCCAGUAAACGGCGGUGGUAACUAUAACCAUCCUAAGGUAGCGAAAUUCCUUGUCGGGUAAGUUCCGACCUGCACGAAUGGAGUAACGACUUGGGCGCUGUCUCCAUCAUGGACUCGGCGAAAUUGCACUACGAGUAAGAUGCUCGUUACGCGCAGCAGGACGGAAAGACCCCGGGACCUUCACUAUAGUUUGGUAUUGGUGAUCGGAGUGACUUGUGUAGGAUAGAUGGGAGACUUUGAAGCUUGGACGCCAGUUCAGGUGGAGUCAUCGUUGAAAUACCACUCUGGUCACUUUGGUUAUCUAACCUAGGUCCAUUAUCUGGAUCAGGGACAGUGCCUGAUGGGUAGUUUGACUGGGGCGGUCGCCUCCUAAAAGGUAACGGAGGCGCCCAAAGGUUCCCUCAGCCUGGUUGGCAAUCAGGUUUCGAGUGUAAGUGCACAAGGGAGCUUGACUGCGAGAGAGACAUCUCAAGCAGGAACGAAAGUCGGGACUAGUGAUCUUCUGGUGGCACAUGGAAGCGCCAGGACUCAACGGAUAAAAGGUACCCCGGGGAUAACAGGCUGAUCUUGCCCGAGCGUCCAUAGCGACGGCAUGGUUUGGCACCUCGAUGUCGGCUCGUCGCAUCCUGGGGCUGGAGUCGGUCCCAAGGGUUGGGCUGUUCGCCCAUUAAAGCGGCACGCGAGCUGGGUUUAGAACGUCGUGAGACAGUUCGGUCCCUAUCCGCUGCGCGCGUAGGAGUCUUGAGAAGAGCUGUCCUUAGUACGAGAGGACCGGGACGGACUAACCUCUGGUGUGCCAGUUGUUCUACCAAGAGCACGGCUGGUUGGCUACGUUGGGAAGUGAUAACCGCUGAAAGCAUCUAAGCGGGAAGCACGCUUCAAGAUGAGGGCUCCCACAGAAUAAUCUGGUAAGGCCCCCUAUAGACCAUGGGGUGAUAGGUCGGAUGUGGAAGUGCAGCAAUGCACGGAGCUGACCGAUACUAAUAGGCCGAGGGCUUGUUCUU